GAUGAACGCUGGCGGCGUGCCUAAUACAUGCAAGUCGAGCGAACAGACGAGGAGCUUACUCCUCUGACGUUAGCGGCGGACGGGUGAGUAACACGUGGAUAACCUACCUAUAAGACUGGGAUAACUUCGGGAAACCGGAGCUAAUACCGGAUAACAUGUUGAACCGCAUGGUUCAACAGUGAAAGACGGUCUUGCUGUCACUUAUAGAUGGAUCCGCGUCCCAUUAGCUAGUUGGUAAGGUAACGGCUUACCAAGGCAACGAUGCGUAGCCGACCUGAGAGGGUGAUCGGCCACACUGGAACUGAGACACGGUCCAGACUCCUACGGGAGGCAGCAGUAGGGAAUCUUCCGCAAUGGGCGAAAGCCUGACGGAGCAACGCCGCGUGAGUGAAGAAGGUCUUCGGAUCGUAAAACUCUGUUAUUAGGGAAGAACAAAUGUGUAAGUAACUAUGCACGUCUUGACGGUACCUAAUCAGAAAGCCACGGCUAACUACGUG
rnacentral:rRNA from 1 species